rnacentral:rRNA from 1 species
AGGACACUGUUUGGUGGGUAGUUUGACUGGGGUGGUCGCCUCCAAAAUAGUAACGGAGGCUUCUAAAGGUGCCCUCACGACGAUUGGUAACCGUCGGCAGAGUGUAAUGGCAUAAGGGCGCUUGACUGGGAGACUUACAAGUCGAUCAGGUAGGAAACUAGAGCAUAGUGAUCCGGUGUUUCCGUAUGGAAGGGACAUCGCUCAAAGGAUAAA